rnacentral:rRNA from 1 species
CUAAGUGGCGGACGGGUGAGUAAUGUAUAGUUAAUCUGCCCUUUAGAGGGGGAUAACAGUUGGAAACGACUGCUAAUACCCCAUACUCCUUUUAUCUUAAUAGUAAUUGGGAAACGUUUUUUCGCUAAAGGAUGAGACUAUAUGGUAUCAGGUAGUUGGUGGGGUAAGAGCCUACCAAGCCAAUGACGCCUAGCUGGUCUGAGAGGAUGAUCAGCCACACUGGAACUGAGACACGGUCCAG